ensembl:lncRNA
UUUAUUUUCACAACAAAAUUUAUUAGAAGAAUAGUGGUUUUGAAAAGAAGGUUCUAGCAUCCAGUGAAUACUACCUUACACAACAUUACAGCUGAAAUGUGAGGCAAAAGAUGGCAUUUUUUUCCUAAUUCAAUAAAACAUAACCAAUCAAAUAUUUUACACAUGCACAAAGACAGAUCUAAUCAGCGUAGCCAACAAUGCAAAAUAAACAUAACAAAAACAGAUCACAGAAAAAUCAAAUGCUUUUCUUUUUUUGUCAAAAAUCACAGACAUCGGGAAUCUUUAUUAAUCAUCAGUCAAAUCAGAAAAUCUGUUCUUAAAACAGGAAGAGAAAGAGAAAAAAAUCUAAACAAAUAGUGCAAAAAUCAAAACUAAAACCAAUUACUGUGAUUCUUUUCGGCGCUCAUUAUCACAGAUAUCAAUCAUAGAAGACUACAUUAAAAGUCCAACAUACAAGGUAUAAAAAAAAGGUACAUAAAUAAUAGUAUAAUAUGAGAAAAAUAUUUGUUUUAAUUAUAAAACUUCUUGUCAAACUGUAAACAGUAGCAAUGGGGGGGAAAUUAGGUCCAUAAGGGUAUUUAAAUAAAAGCCUUUGUUUGGAGUGUGCGUGAGGUCAAGUCCAGACCAGGUCCAGUUUAGACCAGAUCCAGGACAUGACCAGGUCCAGCUUAGACCACAUAGAUUAUAGACCAGGUCCAGAGCAAGACCAAUUCCAGUCUAGACCAGUGACCAGACUAGACCAGUUCCAGUAUAGACCUGGGUCCAGUCUGAACCAGUGACCAGACUAGACCAGGUCCAGGACUAGACCAGAUCUAGACCAGGGACCAGACUAGACCAGGUCCAGUCUAGACCUGGUUCCUGUCUAGACCAGGUAUCAGACUAGGCCAGGUUCAGACUAGACCAGGUCCAGGUCAGACCAGGGACCAGACUGAGUGUCCGCAGGGGUCUCGGGGAUCCUGAGCUAUAACUAUAAGCCCCUCAGGGGUCCUGACUGGACCGGAGCAAUGAGGUAUAUCGGCAAAACACAAUCUAGUCAGAAAAAAGGGUUUCAGCGGACCUUAGACCCUAGAACCAGCAGAAACUUAUCAGGACUCAAAAACAAAAGCAGAAGAGUUUUGAUCUCUCACUCCAACCAUGCUAAAUCAUCUCAUAAAGAAAAAUGUUCAGUAUACAGUAAUAAAGAAGCCUUGGUUCCUUUCACCGAAAGCCUGGCUUCUUUUAUGAGGUACAUCUCUGCAGAGUGAACAUUACAUACUCUUUUCAGCUUGUUUAUGUUACGACUUGCUGAGCUUCCUUCUGCACUGCGGCAUAAAGGCAAGCAAAGCCCGGCUAAGCUAGGAACAAGCCUAGCUAGGAGCCCAAUAAGCCUUCUAGCCUUCUUUCUGCUAUACUUUUCCAACUGACUCUAAGACUCGAAAAAGAGCUCUCAAAAAGAGAGAACUUGCAUACCUGUAAAGCCAAAACGUUACUUUGUAUUUCUGACGUAAAGUGAAUUAAGUCAAACGUUCCAUUAGGGACAGAAUGGCUCUCCACGGCCAAAGGCUGUCAAAUAUCAGCCUUGUCUCUGACCAAGGGAGUUUGUGUCUCGCAGGACACCACACGGUUUCCAUGAUCUUCUAUGAGCUGACAACAACUUUACAAGGUUCUCCCUAAAGCCUGAUCAAAAGCCAAAGCCAAUGUGUCGAAAUCCCUUGUACGCUGAACAGAAGAUGUCAGUGUGAGGACAAUGUGCCUUGUGAGGACGACUGCCACCUUUCAGUUUUGUCAAGUCUUUCCAUCCGGAAGGGUUGUAGUAAUAAGGUAGUAUGGUUUUCAGUCAACGUUAUGACCCAGAGGUUCAUGACGACAGUAGUGUUCAGAGCAGUAAAUGGGGGGGUCGACAUUCAGUAAGAUAUAUUCAAUGAUGCAAGUGUUGUUACUGUUUUUAAAGCAACAAAUAAAGCCAUAACGAAUGGAGGAGCUAGAGAGAGAGAAAAAGCACGGCUAUAGUUUGAACCAAACAGUAAAACCAAGGGAAGAAUACUCCUGUAGUUCGUUGGAAACUCUUUGUGUCAGGGCAGAGAUACUGAUGAAACGACAGCUAAGGUGUGAUCACUGCUUGGCCUCGCUGCGGAUUAAGAACCUGAAUAAGUCUGAGAGAGGUGUGAUCGGAGUCCCUGAGGAUGUCUGGGUAAUGUAGGUAAUGCCUGUGAGACGCCAGAAGGGAAACCAACUGCCGUUUCUGCCUUUAGAGAUGCUAACUUUCAGCUGAGAUAAGAGCACAGGUCGAUUUUCUCUAUGGAAAAGUAAAUCCAGCUAUUGAAAGCAAAAAUAGGAUAAUUGAGGGCAAAAAAGUAAUUCUUCUAAUUAAGUCAUCAACAUUAUACACUAAAUUUUAACUCUUUUUUUGUUACUUUACAUAAGGGGGAACAAAUGAUUGCAAAAGAGCUUUAGCCCAAAAAACACUAUAAAAGCUGCCUUGUUAGACGGAAACUUCCUCAGAAGAGGACCUUUUUUUUGUCUUUUUUAUUUCGAGCCAAACGGGCCUGUGGACUGCGUUAAAGUAAAGAAGCGCAUUUGGAUCAGUUCAUCCUCUUUAAGCCAAAGGAGUGGUACGAGGGGUAUGUACAACAGCAUGCAAAAAGUAUCUAAAAGGGGGUUUGGACUUUCACAAAGAGUUCCAACUCUGCACGCGGGGGCCGCAUACGAGAGGGCCAUCGCCACCUGACCGCCGGUGGCCCGCAAAUGGGGAAAAACCACGCCCUGCCAUCAUUUUUGAUUCCUGACACAUGAGAAGCAACAAGCGGAUCGAAGUCUACGGUGCCGUCCGUGUACACACUCUGCGAAGCCUGAGCUAAAGGCAGGCAAGCGCUGAUAGGGUAAAGCAGUCCUAUGUACAACAUCAGAGAACCCCCAACCCCACCCACCAGGUCAUCUUCAUAAAUAUACUCCUAUUUAAAGUGUCCUUUACAAAAGUUCCCCUGCCCCCUUCCCCUUGAUCACAAUAAGGAUUGACAAGACUACAACUACACUACUUCCAUUACAACUACUUUUGUUAACAAAAAAAUUAGGUAGGCCCCAGCCCUGCUUCCUAUGCUACACGCUGGGGGACGAUAGAGACCAGUUAGAGGAAGAAACAAUAGCUUGCAAGAGACUGUGUUUUUUUAGUUUUUUAACUUAUUUUUUUACUAACUUACUGCACUGGACGUUUUAGUUUACUUCCCUGAAUCAUCAAAGGAAAAGGUGCAUCCUUUUCUGAAAAAAAGUACAUGAUAUUAGAGAUUUAUAUAUGCAUGUGCAUUUUGUCUGUGUGUAGCUUGAAUAGGUAUAUCUAUGUGCACAUAUAGCGUACUUCUUAUUCUUAAAUAUGUAUAGCUAAAUUAGAGGUUAGUUGUGUUUGUUUUUAUGUUUUUACAUUCAGUUCUUAACAAUGAUAAGAGUAGAUAAAGAGAUACAGACACGAGGUAAAAUGGUCUUCUAGUAGCGCAAUUCCCGUGUUCACGCCUUUUCGUUCCCUAGCCCACCAAGUCUCAAACCUCCAGCGAGGAAAAACCAAAUGCUCAGAUUCACACUAAACCAAACAGCGACUGCAUGGGGAAACUUCCCGCGGUUAUUUGGCUAAUUCAACAUGGAGCAUGGGGAUUGUACAACUGCUUCAAACUGGAGCGAAAAAAACAAGUCUUUUCAUUUAAUUCAACAAACAAAGACUUGGGCUGCGAAACAUUUCAGACGGAAAACACGAGGCGCUAAACAAUGCAGCGGCGGAAUCCAUGGGAAAUGAGAGCGGUGACAGGAAAUGAUAGACAAGCUCUAACAAGAUGGACGUCUUUUACAUGUAAUUCUGAGGUAUUCUGUGUUGUUCAUUUUUUUGUUUGUUAGUUCUUUUUGUGUUUUUUUGUUCUUUUCAUUUUUUUUAUCUUGUUGCUGCACGCCAACAAACACAGAGAAGGCCGAGGUUGGAGGGCUACUCUCUCUGAAGCCCUGGCAUCCAAACGCUGGACCCGCGCUUCAGAAUGCCCCCUUCCUGGCUUUUGGUAAGAAAAGUAUAACUGUUCAGGUCCUCUGGUCCUUACUGGUUUAACUGGGAGCGCAGAACCACACCACUGCUUGAGAUAUUCACGUUUACAAUCCUUGCUGUUUAUAAAGCACUGAAAAAAAAGGUAUUUGGCAGAAACUAACAUUGGUGUUUAGUGGGGGGGGGCAGAGAAUAUAAUGCUGGGGUGGUUGCUUCCUUGUCUGUCUGAUCCACUAUGUAUAUCUGUAUCUAAGUCUAUUUGAGGGGCUGUGAUUAGAGGGUGUUGCAAUGGGGUGCUCUGAAGCCCUCAGAGGCUGUACUUGAACAAGAGGGUUAUAAACAAAACGACUGGCAGAAAACCUUCCCAUUGCCGGCCAAGCAUAUCAGCCUCAACCGGAGGUCACAUGGUGUCUGCCACUUGCCCUGCCCAUGAGCAAAUGCUGCUCUUUACCUAAAACAUGGAAAACAAAACAGAGAGAGCGAGAGAGAGAGCGAGAGAGAGAGAGAGAGAGAGAGAGAGAGAGAGAGAGAGAGAGAGAGAGAGAGAGAG